CCUACGGGAGGCAGCAGUGGGGAAUUUUGGACAAUGGGCGCAAGCCUGAUCCAGCAAUGCCGCGUGCAGGAUGAAGGCCUUCGGGUUGUAAACUGCUUUUGUACGGAACGAAACGGUGAGCUCUAAUACAGUUUGCUAAUGACGGUACCGUAAGAAUAAGCACCGGCUAACUACGUGCCAGCAGCCGCGGUAAUACGUAGGGUGCGAGCGUUAAUCGGAAUUACUGGGCGUAAAGCGUGCGCAGGCGGUGAUGUAAGACAGAUGUGAAAUCCCCGGGCUCAACCUGGGACCUGCAUUUGUGACUGCAUCGCUAGAGUACGGUAGAGGGGGAUGGAAUUCCGCGUGUAGCAGUGAAAUGCGUAGAUAUGCGGAGGAACACCGAUGGCGAAGGCAAUCCCCUGGACCUGUACUGACGCUCAUGCACGAAAGCGUGGGGAGCAAACAGGAUUAGAUACCCUGGUAGUCCACGCCCUAAACGAUGUCAACUGGUUGUUGGGUCUUCACUGACUCAGUAACGAAGCUAACGCGUGAAGUUGACCGCCUGGGGAGUACGGCCGCAAGGUUGAAACGUCAAAUGAAUUGACGG
rnacentral:rRNA from 1 species